AACUACAGGUGUAGACUAACAGUGAAAUGCUUACUUACAGGCCCUUACCAACAAUGCAGAAUACAAUAAUGAUAAUAAUAAUAAUAGAGUAAAACAAUAGUAACACGAAGAAUAAAUACACAAUGAGCAAUGAUAGCUUGGAUAUAUAGAUGGGGUACGACUACCGAGUCGAUGUGCAUGGGUAUGAGGUAAUUGAGGUAGAUGUGUACAUAUAGGUAGGGGUAAAUUGACUAGGCAACAGGAUAGAAUGUAGACAGUAGCAGCACCGGAUGAGAUGAGUGUGUAAGUGUUUAAGUGUGUGUGUGUCAGUGGAGGCUGCUGAGGAGAGGAAGGCUCAUAAUUAUGUCUGGAACGGAGCUAAUGGAAUGGCAUCAAGCACAUGGAAACCACGUGUUUGAUGUAUUUGAUACCAUUCCACUUAUUCCGUUCCAGCCAUUACCAUGAGCCCAUGAGUCCUCCCCAAUUAAGGUGCCACCAACGCCCUGUGGUGUGUGGUGAAUGUAUGCCUGUGUGUACGUGUUGUGUGUGUGUGUGGGUGUGAUUGUGUGUGUGUAUGUGUUGGAGUAUCAGUGUAAGUAUGCGUGAGUGUGUGCGCAUAGUGUCUCUUCACUGUCCGCGUUGUGGCUUGAGGUUGUUUAAUCUUUUUUUUAAAUCAUAUUUUACUGUUCUCUUGAGUUAUUUGAUGUGGAAGAAAGUUCCCUGUAUUCAUGGCUCUAUCUCAGGGGUAUUCAACCAGGGGUUAGCGGAGGUACUGCAGGGGGUCCACGAAUAUACUGUAUAUUUUUUGGUGGAAUUUUUAUUUUGUUUUACUUCAAUGUUUUUAUGAAUAUCGCAAGCAAUAACAGAAUAAACUCAAUUUGAAUUACAUACCUACAGUAGAAAAGAGGAGAAUAUCUUGUUUCUAAUAAUGUCAACUGUAUUUAUGAACUCCAAUACUGAGCCAAUUACACUAAUUGGAGACACAUACACUCACUGGAGUAUCUGACAUAGGAUUUGAAAAGGCCUCUCCUUGCCAUUAAGUAAAGGUUGAAGAGCCCUGUUCUAUGUAGUCAAGUGCUAGAGCUGCAGUAUAGUGAGAUGUUUUCAUUAGAAAAUAUACAAAAACAUUAAAUAUUCUGAAUGUAUUUAUGUUGCGAUUCAAUCCAUAUUAAAACAGAAAUGAAAUAAAAGUACAUCAUUGACGUAUGUAAGGUACUGGGUGUCGUGAGUGGGAAGUCAGGCGCAGGAAAACAGAGAGUUCAAUAUAGUGCUCUUUUAAUGCACACACGGUGAACCACGGCCACCUCACUAAAUACUGGGUGCUCAAAACAAAAUGCCCCAGACACGGGGAACGAAGCAGUCCCGCACUAUACACGAACAUAAACCAACACGUUCGACAAUAACAAACACCAGGGUUACAAUAAUCAAUCCCGCUCAAAGAAACGGGCGGGCCGGUUGACUAAUAAAGCCCAACUAAUUACAACAAACUAAAACAGGUGAUACCAAUAAACACAUAAGGAGGGGGAGGAAAGAAAUCAGUGGCAGCUAGUAGGCCGGUGACGACGACCGCCGAGCGCCACCCGAACGGGAAGGGGAGCCACCUUCGGUCGGACUCGUGACAACGUAAAGGAAAAUACCCCAAAUAUUUUACUUGUCAGCAAUCUGUAUUUCUGUAUUUUGAAAGUUACAUAUCUUGAACCAAAAUAUAGUUUUCCUUUAUUAAUUGAUUGGGUGAUUGAUUGUUUGUUUAAUAGCUACAAACUUCAGCAUCCUAUCCAUCACAUGACAUCGGGACCUUAAUAGACUAUAGACACCGCCGACUGUAAUGGACAUCCUCAGCUUCAUCACAGGGUGCACACUUGUCUCGCUUGGUCACUGUUGGAUAGUGAAGGUGCCCAAUACUGUGAAGGCAGUAGAUGGUAGUUGUGUAGAAGUGUCCUGUCACACCGACCCCACCACAGGGUCAUCUGGUACCGGUAUCAUAGCAUUCUCUAUCCCAAGGUUUAUGAUGGCAAGGAACCGACCAGUGUGGAGAGCAGCUUUAGAGGGCGUACAUCAGUGCCAGGCAAUGCAUCAGAGGGUGACUGUACACUGAGGGUUGAGAGUGUGACAUGGACCGACAAUAACCUCCAGCUCUACGUGUGGAUCAACCCUGAUGAGUCAGCUACACAAAAUUUCCAUCGUCAGAUCGCAAGGAUUAAAAUUGAAAAUAGAAAAGCCCCUGCCUUAUCCAUGAAGAAUGCAUUGGUGGAUGGAGCCUUAUUCCAGGCCAACUGUACUGUCUGGCAUUCCUGCCCAUCCUCUCCUCCAUCCCUUCAAUGGAGCCAUUUGCCUGUAAAUUCUACAGCAGUGACUUCCAUGAAGGAAAAGGGAGGGCUGUGGGUGUCUACUGAGACAAUACAAGGAAGAGGAACGUGCCAACUGCACAAAAAAGAGAUGAAAUGCACAGCUCAAUUCGCUAGAGUACAAACUGAGUCAACCAGUCAUUCUUAACAUCUCAUGUACGUUUUUGGUCUUUCUUGUUUGAUCCCAGUUGUGUAAUUAUUCCGUUCACAGGCCAUCACUUAAAUAAAUGGUGAUGGUGGAUGAACUGCCAGUCAGUGAAGGUCAUAGUGUCAACCUGGAGUGUGUUGCUGACAGCAACCCCCAGCCAGGCAGGUAUGUGUGGAUCAGACGACAGGGAGGCCAAAGCAUCCAAAUGAAUUCAACUCAGGGCAAAAUGUCCUAUCCCAACAUUAGCAGAGACACCUCAUUCUCCUGCAUUGUCCAAAAUAAUAUUGGAUCAAAUCAGUCAGCCUGGCUGUUUCUGGAUGUCAACUGUAAGUAUCUCAUUGUAUGUGUCUAUGUGUGGUUGCACAGUUUCCAAUGGAACUAACAUUAUAUUUGUACUAUGAGAUGCUAAUUCUAGCGACACAUUAUGUGUGUAAAAUAGAAGAAAGGACUCCUUUCCACCCUAACAUAGUUCUAUUGUCAUUGUUUCUCACUCACAACAGGAAGGAAGGCAAAUGUGUAGUGUCAAAAAAAACAUUUUUAAACCUUUGUGUCAUUCUGUCACUCCAGUCCCCCCAGCAAUCCUCUCUGACUCCACUUGCUCCUUGAAGGGUGGGAUUCUGCACUGUGUGUGUAGAGCAGAAGCCCGACCUAAUGCCACUCUGCACUGGACGAUCAACGGAAGCAGCACUCUCCCAUCCUCCUUCACUUCCAUCACCAUAUACAGAGAAAAUAUGGUGUCAGCAGAACUCACUGGGCCUGUGGAAAGAGGCCCGAAUGUCUCCUGUGUAGCCAGUAACUCACUGGCCACUGACAUCCAGCAGCUGCCCCUUGACACAAAAUUCACAGCUGGACAGUUUCUGCCAUGGAUGCUGACUGCUCUGGCAGUUGUGUCUUUCUGUGGGGAGCUGUAAUGUUUGUACGCAGAAUACGUUGCAGAGAGAGGUUUGUAUGGUUCUUGAUGAUGAUGAUGUCACAUAUUAAACCAUAUUAGGUGUGUCAUUUUGAAUGAUGUCUCCCAUCUACAUUAUCUGUAGACCAAAGGCCAGUUCUAAUCUCUCCACUUUGGAUAUCCCUCUAAGGUGCUCUCAUUUUUGCAUCUGUAUUUUACAUACAACAAAUAAUAAUGUUCAAGCUCAUUGACAUUGAGAUGUUUUUGUCUUUAAGGCAACCUGUCCCUAAGGUACAGCAAUCCCCAAAAGUAACAUAGGAUAACCCUUUGAAGAACCCGUUUUGGUUCCUAGUAGUACUCUUUUGGUUCCAGGUAGAACCCUUUUGGGUUCCAGGUAGUACCCUUUCUACAGAA